UGAGGAAUAUUGGACAAUGGGCGAGAGCCUGAUCCAGCCAUGCCGCGUGCAGGAAGAAGGCCCUAUGGGUUGUAAACUGCUUUUUUUACGGGAAGAAACACCCCCUCGUGAGGGGGCUUGACGGUACCGUACGAAUGAGGACCGGCUAACUCCGUGCCAGCAGCCGCGGUAAUACGGAGGGUCCGAGCGUUAUCCGGAAUCAUUGGGUUUAAAGGGUCCGUAGGCGGGCGUCUAAGUCAGUGGUGAAAUUCUGCAGCUCAACUGUAGAACUGCCAUUGAUACUGGUCGCCUUGAAUCGUUGUGAAGUGGCUAGAAUAUGUAGUGUAGCGGUGAAAUGCUUAGAUAUUACAUAGAAUACCGAUUGCGAAGGCAGGUCACUAACAACGUAUUGACACUGAUGGACGAAAGCGUGGGGAGCGAACAGGAUUAGAUACCCUGGUAGUCCACGCCGUAAACGAUGGAUACUAGCUGUCCGGUGCACAUUGGUGUG
rnacentral:rRNA from 1 species